AUUGAACGCUGGCGGCAGGCCUAACACAUGCAAGUCGAACGGUAACAGGAAGAAGCUUGCUUCUUUGCUGACGAGUGGCGGACGGGUGAGUAAUGUCUGGGAAACUGCCUGAUGGAGGGGGAUAACUACUGGAAACGGUAGCUAAUACCGCAUAACGUCGCAAGACCAAAGAGGGGGACCUUCGGGCCUCUUGCCAUCGGAUGUGCCCAGAUGGGAUUAGCUUGUUGGUGGGGUAACGGCUCACCAAGGCGACGAUCCCUAGCUGGUCUGGAAGGAUGACCAGCCACACUGGAACUGGGACACGGUCCAGACUCCUACGGGAGGCAGCAGUGGGGAAUAUUGGACAAUGGGCGCAAGCCUGAUGCAGCCCUGCCGCGUGUAUGAAGAAGGCCUUCGGGUUGUAAAGUACUUUCAGCGGGGAGGAAGGGAGUAAAGUUAAUACCUUUGCUCAUUGACGUUACCCGCAGAAGAAGCACCGGCUAACUCCGUGCCAGCAGCCGCGGUAA
rnacentral:rRNA from 1 species